rnacentral:sRNA from 1 species
AAUGUGAACGUUACCAAACUGUUGCCUCGGCGGGAUCUCUGCCCCGGGUGCGUCGCAGCCCCGGACCAAGGCGCCCGCCGGAGGACCAACCAAAACUCUUAUUGUAUACCCCCUCGCGGGUUUUUUUAUAAUCUGAGCCUUCUCGGCGCCUCUCGUAGGCGUUUCGAAAAUGAAUCAAAACUUUCAACAACGGAUCUCUUGGUUCUGGCAUCGAUGAAGAACGCAGCGAAAUGCGAUAAGUAAUGUGAAUUGCAGAAUUCAGUGAAUCAUCGAAUCUUUGAACGCACAUUGCGCCCGCCAGUAUUCUGGCGGGCAUGCCUGUCCGAGCGUCAUUUCAACCCUCGAACCCCUCCGGGGGGUCGGCGUUGGGGAUCGGCCCUCCCUUAGCGGGUGGCCGUCUCCGAAAUACAGUGGCGGUCUCGCCGCAGCCUCUCCUGCGCAGUAGUUUGCACACUCGCAUCGGGAGCGCGGCGCGUCCACAGCCGUUAAACACCCAACUUCUGAAAUGUUGACCUCGGAUCAGGUAGGAAUACCCGCUGAACUUAAGCAUAUCAAUAAGCGGAGGAAAAGAAACCAACAGGGAUUGCCCCAGUAACGGCGAGUGAAGCGGCAACAGCUCAAAUUUGAAAUCUGGUCCCUAGGGCCCGAGUUGUAAUUUGUAGAGGAUGCUUUUGGUGAGGUGCCGCCCGAGUUCCCUGGAACGGGACGCCACAGAGGGUGAGAGCCCCGUCUGGCUGGCCGCCGAGCCUCUGUAAAGCUCCUUCGACGAGUCGAGUAGUUUGGGAAUGCUGCUCAAAAUGGGAGGUAUAUGUCUUCUAAAGCUAAAUAUUGGCCAGAGACCGAUAGCGCACAAGUAGAGUGAUCGAAAGAUGAAAAGCACCUUGAAAAGAGGGUUAAAUAGUACGUGAAAUUGUUGAAAGGGAAGCGCUUGUGACCAGACUUGGGCGCGGCGGAUCAUCCGGGGUUCUCUCCGGUGCACUUCGCCGCGUCUAGGCCAGCAUCAGUUCGUCGCGGGGGAAAAAGGCUUCGGGAACGUGGCUCCUCCGGGAGUGUUAUAGCCCGUUGCAUAAUACCCUGCGGUGGACUGAGGACCGCGCAUC